rnacentral:rRNA from 1 species
GCACGUGAAAUUCCGUCGGAAUCUGGGAGGACCAUCUCCUAAGGCUAAAUACUCUCUAGUGACCGAUAGUGAACCAGUACCGUGAGGGAAAGGUGAAAAGUACCCCGGAAGGGGAGUGAAAGAGAACUUGAAACCGUGUGCUUACAAGUAGUCAGAGCCCGUUAAUGGGUGAUGGCGUGCCUUUUGUAGAAUGAACCGGCGAGUUACGAUUUGAUGCAAGGUUAAGCAGCUAAUGUGGAGCCG